rnacentral:rRNA from 1 species
CCUACGGGGGGCAGCAGUGGGGAAUAUUGGGCAAUGGGCGCAAGCCUGACCCAGCAAUGCCGCGUGAAGGAAGAAGGCUUUCGGGUUGUAAACUUCUGUGACAGGGGAAGAGCAGAAGACGGUACCCUGAAAACAAGCCACGGCUAACUACGUGCCAGCAGCCGCGGUAAUACGUCGGUGGCAAGCGUUGUCCGGAUUUACUGGGUGUAAAGGGCGUGUAGCCGGGAAGGCAAGUCAGAUGUGAAAUCUGGAGGCUCAACCUCCAAAUUGCAUUUGAAACUGUUUUUCUUGAGUACUGGAGAGGCAGACGGCAUUCCUUGUGUAGCGGUGAAAUGCGUAGAUAUAAGGCGGAACACCAGUGGCGAAGGCGGUCUGCUGGACAGCAACUGACGGUGAGGCGCGAAAGCGUGGGGAGCAAACAGGAUUAGAUACCCUAGUAGUC